GCGGCCGUAGCUCAACGGUUAGAGCAGGGGACUCAUAAUCCCUUGGUUGGGGGUUCGAUUCCCUCCGGCCGCA
rnacentral:tRNA from 1 species